GACGUAGGGGGCAAGCGUUGUCCGGAUUUAUUGGGCGUAAAGAGCUCGUAGGCGGCUCAGAAAGUCGGGUGUGAAACCUCCAGGCUCAACCUGGAGACGCCACCUGAUACUGCUGUGGCUAGAGUCCGGUAGGGGAACACGGAAUUCCCGGUGUAGCGGUGAAAUGCUUAGAUAUCGGGAGGAACACCAGUGGCGAAGGCGGUGUUCUGGGCCGGAACUGACGCUGAGGAGCGAAAGCGUGGGUAGCAAACAGGAUUAGAAACCCCCGUAGUCC
rnacentral:rRNA from 1 species